AGUAACACGUAUGCAAUCCACCUGUAACAGGGGGAGUAACCCGGAGAAAUCCGGACUAAUACCCCAUAAUAUGGGCGCUCCGCAUGGAGAGUCCAUUAAAGAGAGCAAUCUUGGUUACAGACGAGCAUGCGCUCCAUUAGCCAGUUGGCGGGGUAACGGCCCACCAAGGCGACGAUCGGUAGCCGGACUGGGAGGCUGAACGGCCACAUUGGGACUGAGACACGGCCCAG
rnacentral:rRNA from 1 species